rnacentral:rRNA from 1 species
AGAGUUUGAUCCUGGCUCAGAGCGAACGCUGGCGGCAGGCCUAAUACAUGCAAGUCGAACGCACCUUCGGGUGAGUGGCGGACGGGUGAGUAACACGUGGGAACGUGCCCUUUGGUUCGGAAUAAUCCGGGGAAACCUGGCCUAAUACCGGAUGAGCCCCCUCCUUUAACCAGGGGGGCGGGAAAGAUUUAUCGCCAUUGGAGCGGCCCGCGUCUGAUUAGCUAGUUGGUGGGGUAAAGGCCCACCAAGGCUACGAUCAGUAGCUGGUCUGAGAGGAUGAUCAGCCACACUGGGACUGAGACACGGCCCAGACUCCUACGGGAGGCAGCAGUAGGGAAUCUUGCGCAAUGGGCGAAAGCCUGACGCAGCCAUGCCGCGUGAAUGAUGAAGGUCUUAGGAUUGUAAAAUUCUUUCAGCGGGGAAGAUAAUGACUGUACCCGCAGAAGAAGCUCCGGCUAACUUCGUGCCAGCAGCCGCGGUAAUACGAAGGGGGCUAGCGUUGCUCGGAAUUACUGGGCGUAAAGGGCGCGUAGGCGGGUAUUUAAGUCAGGGGUCAAAUCCCGGGGCUCAACCUCGGAACUGCCUUUGAUACUGGGUACCUAGAGUUCGGGAGAGGUGUGUGGAACUCCGAGUGUAGAGGUGAAAUUCGUAGAUAUUCGGAAGAACACCAGUGGCGAAGGCGACACACUGGCCCGAUACUGACGCUGAGGCGCGAAAGCGUGGGGAGCAAACAGGAUUAGAUACCCCAGUAGUCC